GAGACACCCUUCUGGGGCAAGGCUUGCUUCAGUGGGGCUUGGUGCUCACUGAGUCUGCCCCCUGAGUGUGUCCCU
rnacentral:pre_miRNA from 1 species